UACAAAUUUUAGAAGCACAUACAAUAUAGGCACAUUUAGGCAUACUCUUUUAUAAUUAUAACAAAAUUUUAUAAUAUAUAAAGUUGAAGAGCAGAAAAGGAACUAUGGACUCUGAGGAUAAUCAACCCCGUCCCGUGUUUGUUUUAACGAAGGCCGAGUCGGGCGGAAUGUAUUUGUUGCGGGUAUUAAAGCUUUUACCGGAACCGCAUUUAAUCUCCUCGCAGGUCUGCACAUCAGAAGAGGCACAUGCAUAUAGGGUCAUGAGAUGUGUUUACAAAUUCAACUUAUUCUUCUUUAAUUGCUGCAAGACCCUUCAAGAAAUAAUCGACUUCCUCAACACUUUUAAAAAAUUGUAACAGAAUUAAUAUUGUGUAUAUCGGUAUUUUAGUCUUGAGCUAUUCUAACUUUCACCAAAAUUUACAAAACUAACAUUAUGGAAUAUAUGCAAGUAUUUUCCAACUUUUGACAUUAUUAGUGUUAAUAGUGAAAGUAAAAUAAUUUUAACUGGAAUUGAAAGAAGCGGUGUUCUGAAGUAUCUCUAGACUAAAUUUGUAUCUUUCAAUAUCUUUUUAUCAAAGCCGAUGCAUAAUAAAUUAUGCGAAAUAUGAAGGGGCUGCGUUCUUUGCUGUUAUCGUUGCUAAAGCCUGGCUUAGGAUCCAGUUAAUAUACUUAAGGAACUCAUUUUUUUUACCUUAUUACAAGUAGUGAAAGUUUUAUGAAAUACAAUAAGUGGCAGUUAGUUGACAGGAUUGAUGAUUGACUAUAGGAGCUACACCCUACCUUCCUCUACUGGUUUUCAGAAGGGAAAGGUUUUUGCUAACUAAAUUUUUAAAUUGCCUAAAAU